rnacentral:rRNA from 1 species
GAUUAACGCUGGCGGCGUGCAUAACACAUGCAAGUCGAACGAUGAAACUUAAAUGAUUUCUUCGGAAUGAACUUAAGUGGAUUAGUGGCGGACGGGUGAGUAACGCGUGAGUAACCUGCCUUACACAAGGGGAUAGCCGUUGGAAACGACGAAUAAUACCCUAUGAAACUAUCACUUCGCAUGAAGCGAUAGUCAAAGUGUUAGCGGUGUAAGAUGGACUUGCGUCUGAUUAGCUAGUUGGUGAGAAAAAAGCCCACCAAGGCAACGAUCAGUAGCCGGCUUGAGAGAGUGUACGGCCACAUUGGGACUGAGACACGGCCCAGACUCCUACGGGAGGCAGCAGUGGGGAAUUUUGCACAAUGGGGGAAACCCUGAUGCAGCGACGCCGCGUGAUUUAGAAGGCCUUCGGGUUGUAAAAAUCUUUUGUAUAGGAAGAAAAUGACAGUACUAAACGAAUAAGGUCCGGCUAAUUACGUG